CCUACGGGAGGCAGCAGUGGGGAAUAUUGCUCAAUGGGGGCAACCCUGACGCAGCAACGCCGCGUGAUUGAAGAAGGCCUUCGGGUUGUAAAGAUCUUUAAUCGGGGACGAAUUUUGACGUUUCCCGAAGAAUAAGCUCCGGCUAACUCCGUGCCAGCAGCCGCGGUAAUACGUCGGGCGCAAGCGUUAUCCGGAUUUACUGGGUGUAAAGGGCGUGUAGGGGGGAAUGAAAGGCAGAGGUGAAAUCUUGGGGCUUAACCCCCAAACUGCUUUUGGAACUGGGUGUCUUGAGUGAUGGAGAGGCAGGCGGAAUUCGUAGUGUAGCGGUGAAAUGCGUAGAGAUUGGGAGGAACACCAGUGGCGAAGGCGGCCUGCUGGACAUUAACUGACGCUGAGGCGCGAAAGCGUGGGGAGCAAACAGGAUUAGAUACCCCAGUAGUC
rnacentral:rRNA from 1 species